UGUGAGCGUCUCCGAUCCUAUUCUGUUCGGGAGUCAGUUUUCCUGAGAAGAUUACAGAAACCCACCCUCAACACCAGAACUCCGACAAUCCCAGCUGAACAGGAUUCGUGAACUAAUGGUUCUUAAUGAGGAGGAUUUCUCUAUAAAAUUCCGCGAAGAAGGAAAUGGCUUCGGCCGUGGAGAUAAGAUUUCUCGCUCCUUUUGGCCUACUGCUUUAGUGGAAAAUUUCUUUCAGAGCAAAUCUCUGAUGUUCGAAAACCGGAUAUUCUGUGAUGUGAUGCGAAACCGUAUUAUCUUCACCACACUUACAUGUUCCAUCCGUGACGAGAUUCAGCGACGUUAGCUUUGCCUUGAAAGCUGCAUUUCCUGAAAGAAAUUGUGUUGAGAAAUAGUUUGGAGAGACGAAACGGGCACCCAUCCUUUUCUUGAUGUCCAGGAAAAGAGCAAGUGUCCUUCCUUUAAAGGAAUUUUCCCACUGUUUUUUGGGAUUUCCGCACCGAGUUGUUCUAAUGACGCGCGCUUAAGCUUCAUGUCUUCCAAUUUUCGAAUCGCUUUUUCAGUGUUCCUGUUCUUCCUAAGGACUUAUAAUAUCCUCUGUUUGUAUAAUUAUAGAUCAGUCGGGGUCUGCUUUGCUAUGACGCAUUGAGAUUCCGUUGCGAUUGUGCGAUCUGCGGAUGUGUCUGAGAUAAGGCCGAUCGUUGAGUCGUGCUCAACUUCUUGAGGUACACUUACGUGCAGAGAUCAUUCUGUUGCCGCGUACGUCACCGUAGGGGCAAACACUCCGCGAUAAAUUGCUCGGAGGUCGUAGUGACGAAGUCCCCAUUCCCUAGCAGCUACUCUACCUAGCGUUGCUUAGAGUCUACCGACUUUGUUUUUUAGGUAACGGCACUGUGUCGUGACUCCCAAGCAUUAGUCGAAAUGUACCCCAAGACAUCUUACGGAAUUCCUAAAUUUUAUACUAUCAUUCUUUUUCUUUAUGGCAGGAGGCCUGCUAGUCCGUUUUUUUUCGAUGUCUUCCGUUUCUUAUCCGGACGUUGUGAUCCUCUUCUAUCGAUGGGUUUUCUUUUCACGCAAUCGCUCUUAAAGAUGAUCGCUUCCGUCUUACGCUCGGAGAUGGACAAUUUCACGGUGGAGUACCAUCCGGUGAUGCUAUCUACCAUGCGAUUCCCUUUCUCUUCGAGUUACUUUCUCGAAUCUGCAGCUACAAUAACGAGUUGAUCGUCCGCGUACUCUAUCGCGUUGACUUUUGAGGAUUCCUCUAGUAUCCUGAGAUGCUGGUUGAACAUGAGAUUCCAGGAAGAAGGACCAAGAACUGAUCCUUGAGGGCAUCCUCUCGAGGCCUGCUUUGAUAUCUUAUAUCCUCCCAGAGCGAUUUUGACCUUACAAUCCGCGAAGUAGCUUGUCAUAUCCUUAAAGGCGUUUCUUGAACCGUUUCGAUUUUUAAAUGGCUUGAGGACUAGAAGCCAGCAUACAUUGUCGAGUGCUCCCGAGACAAAGAACAACAGCGCGACAAGAUAUCUCCGUGUGGAGGCAGAACAAUUCGACGCAUUUCCACGAAUACAUCUUCCGUUGAAUGUCCCUGGACGAUGCCAAACUGUUUGUCCGUAAUUUUUCCCGUGAGGGAGGCGUGAGGGAGGUUUCGGUGAAGCGUAUUUAUCAGCCGUCUUUCCAAAACCUUUCCCAUGACGGAGAGAAGACAUAUCGUUCGGUAAUAUUUGGGAUGUUCCGCGUCUUUAUUUUAUCCCUUGAAGAGUGCUCUUAAGGAGUACUCUUUCCAAAUAAAAGGGACGGUGAUUCAUCGGUAGUAUUCGUUGAAGAGAUCUACAAAAUGAGUCGGGAUAACAGUGAAUGCUCUUUUGAGCUCACACUUCGAUCAGAUCCGGCCCCGGGUCUUUACCGUUUUUAAGGGACCCUACGUCCUGCGCGCGACCUCUUCCUCCGUGAAGAGAAGGGCAUCCGCUGUUUCGGGAGCGUUUCUCGAAAUGUCUUGUAUCGCCCGCUGUUCCGGUGUUUCUUCGGAUACGCAGUCGUCCGGUACGUGCGUAUUAACUCUUUCGUUGUGGAGUGCUCAGAAAAGAAUUGCUCUCUCCGCAGCAAGUGCGAUAGUUGAAGGUUGUUUUUGCGCGGAUAACAUGAUACGCGAGUCGUUCCUAAAACGGUUUGCGGAGCCACUUUUGCUGGUCUUUUUCUUGAAGUGGCUGGCCGGCAAGCCGGCCAAACAAUAAUAAUAUUAAUAUGUACAAUAUUAGUAAUUUCCAAUAAUUUUUUAUAAUCUUAAAUAGUCUUUAGCAAUCUUGAAUUAUCACUCCUUGAAUAAUAAAAUUUGAAGCAGGGUUCUAUACAUAAUCCCACGUUACACUCUUUACACUCGAAUCGUGUUUCGGUUCGCUUUUUGUGGUUGCUGCAAAUUACACAUUUCCGGCGACCGUUUUACCAGAUUCCUAUAGGAUUGAUAUAUUUUGAUGGAUAAUGUCCUGGAACUAGUUGUAAAAGAUUAUCUUUGGAUUCUGUUUGGCCACCGCACUUAUUGCUGUAUACAUUUUCAUUUGGAUAGUUUAGUAAAAUUUCAUGAAUGAGACAUAAAUGAAAUUUUGCAAAUGUUAUGUUCUUUAUGGAUAUAAUUUUGUAGAGUAUGAAAGUAUUAUGAAUGGAAAGGUUCAGCAUGUGGAAAUAGAAUUUCCUAGACCACUUCAAAGUUGUACGAAUAGUAUUAAUUAAAUUUGUAAACUGCUCCCUUAACGCGGUUAUAGUCUACAAUAACAGUUGGUUUUAAUAUUUGUGUUCCUGUUACAUUUUUUUUUGUUUCUAUAUACUCAGCAGAAUGAUAGCUUGAUAACAUUAACACUUCUCUUUUGUUCAUCCAUUUUAGCGCUAAUAGUUUAUCCGUAGACUGAAACGUAAUUUCGCCUCUGGAUAAUUUAUUGAGUAUAUUUAAAUAUUUUAUAUUUUAUUUUCCUCACUGUUUUAAAUGCAUUUGUCUUAUUAUGAUAUAGGAGCGAAAAUAAUGCCGGGGUUGAGUACCAGUUAGUGAUCAAAACAUGAUCUUUAUUUAGAUACAGUUCUAUCAGCGUCAUAACAAUAUUCCCUGAUUUGCCAAUAUCUGCUAAAUGAUUGUCAUUUAUAUCCGUGCGUGCUCUACAAUGGACAAUAAAAUCUUCGAUAUAUCCUGUAUGACAGUUUCAAAUUACAUACGACUUAAUAUCAAAUCUACUUCGUUUUGAAGGUAUAUUCUGCUUGAAAAAACAUCAAUCUUUGAAAAGCAGCAUACUUUCGUCGAUGCAUAAAUGCUUGUACGGGUAAAAUGCCCGCGAAAAAAAAUUACGCAGUCUGUCGAUGAUGCUUUGUAUAUUUAUUAUCGCAUCUGGUCUUGUCUCAUUAUUGUCGUGGAAGUGCAAAAUUUGUAACAGGGCUAUAUAUUUGUUUUUUUUUUCAUUAUUCUUGGAAUAUUUUCCGUGCGUAUUAAUUUGUCGGUUGACCAAUAUUUUUCGUCUAUUUAUAAUUUUUUUACUCUUGACAGUAACAUCGACAGAACAAAAAAUCGUUACAUUUCGGUCACUAUUGUAUUUUUCCUAGACAUCAAUCGCGAGUGACUACUGCAUAUAGUUUUCAUGGUAUAAUAAUUAUUGGAUUCUCUCACAUUAUGUUCAAGCAUAGUUCUGGAAAAGAAGUUGAGAAUUUUCAAUUAUUGACGAUUUAUCGUUAAUGUUUGUUUUAACUCCUGAUAGAGUUUCAUCAAAAUCAAAAACAUUCGGAAUUAAUUUCUGUGCGUUCCAAAGAAAUUUUCGUGGAUCGAUGUCAGGUAAUACUUUAACAUUUUCAGAAUAAGAUUCCGAGCUACUUGACAGUAUGCGUCUCCUGUAGUAUGAGUAUUGGCUUUUUACCUUUGUAUUUAAUUUCUCUAAGAAUUGCAGAAAGGUUAGAAUCCGAUGAUUCUUCUAUAUCAUCGCAGAUUAUAUUUGUCCGUUUGUCCAUUAUAAGGGCACAAUCUGUGGAUAAAAUUAUUUGAUUAUUCAAAAAAAUCUUUGCACAAGAAGCGUGUGCAGCUAACGCGUCGAAGACAAACGAAUUAAUGGCCAUUAUUUUGCAUUUAUUAAUAGCAAAAGAUGCAAAACAAAUGCACGGCGCCUAUAGGCGCUGUUCGCUUAGGAGACGCGUCUGUAGUUGAGCGCAUAAAGGCACUUUUCGCAUUGGAAGGGUUAACCGUUGCCCUCCCUCUUGCAGCUGCAGAUGUCUGUUGCCGUACAUGACGACGAACAAGUCGUCGACGUAUUCGAUUGCCUCACAGUCUUCUUCCUCCAGUUCACUUAUGACGACGUCGAAGACGACGUUCCAGAGGUUCGGUCCGAGAAUCGAUCUUUGCGGUCAUACUCUCGAGACCGACUUGCCAACAUUCCUGUAUCGUCCGAUUAACUUCACGUAACAGUUCGCGAAGUAAUUGAUGAUGAGAUGGAAAGCGUUGUGCGGGCAUCGUAGCUUCAGUGCAUUCAUCACGCUGGGCCACCAUAAAUUAUCGAACGCUUCUGAGAUGUAGGUUAUCUCGAGUACGUACUUCUACUCUCUUUCGUGGACGAUCGAGCGGAGUUUCAGUAUCCUGUCCUCCGUGGAUUUCUCCUUCCGGAAUCCGUACUGCCUAUCAGAUGUGAUUUAUUCCCUCGUGAUCGUUUCUCGUAGACGAAUUGCGAUCAGCUUCUCGAGUAUCUUCCCGAGUACUGAGAGCAGGUAUAUCAGCCGAAACGAUUUCGCUCCGGAUUCGUCCUUUUUCUGGAUUUUAAGGAACGCUCCGAUCAAACCCAUUUUUCAUGGUUUCGGGAAGAGGCUCCACCGAAGAUAACCGUUCAUUAUGACAGUAACUUUACGAAGGAGGUAUACGCAAGCUCUUUUCAGGACUUCCACCUAGAUUCCAUCCUGGCCCGAUGCUUUCCGUUGCCCAGGCUGUUCAUUGCGUGGGCGACCUGGAUCUCCAUGAAGACUUCGCAGUCCUCAGUGUCGGGUUCCUGACCCAUGGCUUCACGAUCGUUUUGCUGCCACUCGCAGGUGUCCACUUGGUCGUCGUCGGGUACGAACGCGUUUAGAAGGUCAAGCGCGGCUCUGUACUACGUUGGAGGUCCCGGAAUCGACUGCCCUUCGAAGGAAAUUCUCUUGAAGGUGGGUUGGCCAAGAAUUGCCUCUGCGGAACCACGGUUCUGGAGGGAUACCAGCCCCCUCAACCGCUUUCAGGCCAAAGUACAAGAAAAAUAGCCUCGGAUGGUUUUAAUAAUUUUGGAGAACUCUCUGGUUUUUCCGGCAUGAGUAGUCCACCAACUUAUUGGUGCGGAAUGGACGGAUAUGACAGGACUUGGGAUACAGCUAGGGGAAGAAGUAUGCAUGAACAACGAAUGCAUAAGAAUUGAUGAAAAAUGAUGGAAAAAUUCUAUCAUCUCUGGAAACCAAGAAGGCGCCAUGAAGUGACGAAGAAUCUAGCCUCAUCGCGAGGUAAGAAGUAAGAUUGCUCCAAGUUUGCGCCAAAUUCUUGAAUGUGGCUCUCAUGCUGUAUUUCCCAAUCCGCACGCAAGAGGCCAUUAAGAGUCAAAGACGCUACCAGCGUCAUAAAGAUCGAGUUCAGCAUUACCUGGCAGAGCAGCGAAAGGGAACACAUAUGGAACCAGAGUUAAGCUUUGUUGUAACUGAUGAUCCAAUAAUUGACUUCAUAAGGGCUAUUAUUGAGAAAAUGAUAAAUGCAACCCGUUUAUUGGUUCCGAAUUUCGGGCUGGUAGGUUGGGGACGAUUUAUAAGAACAUGUUAACAUGGUCACAGGACGAGAUAGCGGCAGAAGUGAACGCUUAUCUCUUGGAGAAACUUCAUCCGAGACCAUGUAAGGCUGGCCAACGGCCGACUCGAGAAGUUAAGAACGGACAGACAAAGAGGCAAGUUCGUAGGGCAGAAUAUGUGAUAACAGACAGGGCGUGUAGGGAAGGCCCAUGCGAAUGUCUUCGUGUUAUCCUAAAAAGCGCAUCCACCACUAACGCCCCAAGAGGUAAUGGUCCUCUAUUGGCGGGCCAUCAUGUCAAAAUCAAGCAGCUUGUCUCCGUGGGUUCAGUUUGUUCCAACAAACGAAAAGAAAGCGCCACUGACACCAAUCGAGCCAACCGAAAUUUAUCGGGCUUUGACGGACAAUAAUACAGCGCCAGGCCCUGAUGGCCUAACUGCUAGACAGCUGAAAAAGAUACCCAUAAGAAUUCUUGUGAGAAUAUUUAACUUAUUGCUACUUGUAGGCAAAAUGCCGAAAUUUAUCUUGGAAUUUAAAACUACCUUGAUACUUAAGAAAGAGGUUGCCUCCAACCUGGGGAACUUUCGAUCAAUUACGGUCUUAUCGGUAUUGACAUGGAUACACCACAAGAUCUUUGCCAACAGGUUUGUCAAGAAAAUUCGUUUGGAAAGGAGGAAAUGGGCCUUCCUACCUUAUGAUGGAAUGGCUCGGUGUAGUUUUGUUCUUGUCAUGGUUCUCCGUUAAUACCAUUAGAACUUCAAGCCUCUAUUUAUAGCGUCGCUACACGUUGCGAAUGCUUUAGACUCCGUGUCACAUAUAACAAUCAGGGACACCUUAACAUCGUAUGGUUUCCAAAACAUCUGACUAAAUAUAUAGUCGAUGUAUAUGAACGGAGCAGCACGAUGCUUGCAUGUGAUGACUGGGACUCUGGUGAAAUAAAACCAACGUGUAGGAUUAAAUGAGGGGACCCGCUCUCACCUAUUAUCUUUAACAUGGAGUUGGACUGGCUCCUACAUAGAAUAUCCAAUGUAGUGGGGGCAGAGGUAGACAGAGUCUGGUAUAACACACUUGCGUUUGCAGACGACCUCGGCUUCGUGGCUUCUACAACCCAGGGAGUCCAAUUGACUCUGGAUAUAGUGAACGAUUAACUGGCCAAAUGUGGUUUGGUUAUAAAUACAGGUAAAUCGUUCACUUUGAUAAUUCGGAGUGUGCCACACAUGAAGAAGACGGUGGUGGACGGGAGAGCCAUGUUCACCUGUGCCAACCUUACUGUGUCAGUUGCCAACCUUACAAAGAGAAGACGAGUGGAAAUAUCUGGGCGU